rnacentral:rRNA from 1 species
AUUCCAGCUCCAAUAGCGUAUAUUAAAGUUGUUGCAGUUAAAAAGCUCGUAGUCGGACUUCUGGCGUUGGGGUGUCGGUCCGCCGCAAGGUGUGCACUGCGCUUCGUCGCCAUCCUUCUUGAGGAGCGCGUGUGCCCUUAAUUGGGUGGAUGCGCGACUCGAGACCUUUACUUUGAAAAAAUCAGCGCGUUCAAAGCAGGCUUCUCGCUUGAAUGUACUAGUAUGGAAUAAUAGAAUAGGACUUUGGUUUUAUUUUGUUGGUUUCUAAGACCGAAGUAAUGAUUAAUAGGGAUAGUUGGGGGCAUUCGUAUUUAAUUGUCAGAGGUGAAAUUCUUGGAUUUAUGAAAGACGAAUAUCUGCGAAAGCAUUUGCCAAGGAUGUUUUCAUCG